rnacentral:lncRNA from 1 species
GGUCUUCCGUUAAUGAUGUUGGGAACAGAACCUCAAAGGUAACAUACAGGUCUCCCUUCUUUGAACUAAAAUGCAAUGGCAUUCCUUCCCCCUUGAACUUUCUUACUUCCUUUGGUUUAGUAACUCCCUGAAGAACACGAAAACAUUAAUGACCUUUUUAGGUAAGUCGUUUUUGGAGUAGCAUUAGGAAAGAUGGGAGCUGAGUAUAAGUACCUUGGAGCUGAUGUCCACUAAAUGUUCAUCAAGAUGUUUAAUGGUCUUCUCAAAACCAACAAGAGCUUGGACCUGAAGAGUACCAGAAUCAUAAAUCAGUACAAAGACCAAACAUAUUACAAAACAAUCAUUUCACUGUACUAAAGGCCCAAUGCUUUAACCAAAAGUUUGACACCAACUAAAAAUACACUUAUCCACUACCAAAGUGGGCUUUAUCCAUUAGUCAGAUCUAACCCAAUUGAGAACUGACAAGUGAAAUUGAUAAAAAGGCUGACCCCUUGAUCAGAACGAUUAAUGGUAAUUCUGCACAUUCUUACUGGUUCUUCUCUUUCACGUAUCCUAGGUCAAGGUUUUGUGUUGAUUUGAGUAGUGCCAAACUUGGAGUUAUUUGAUAAAACAAACGGGUCCUAAGUUCACUGAUAGGUAUUCAUUUGAUCAUCUCUAUUACUACAACGGCUUUGGCCUAAUGAACAGAGCGAUUUACAUGCCUGCAAGUUUCCCUGUUACCACAUAUACUCUCAUCUGAUCCGAAUUAUUGCAAGUCGAACUCUUUGCCUCUUCUGCUGAAUGAUGGCACACUAUAGUUUGAUUUCCAUCCUAACUCUCAGCAGAGCAGUGUUAAUGAACUGGAAGUUCACGGCAUUUGGGACCCAAUAAAGUCGAUUCUCAAAGUUAUUUCUAGGGAAAGGAUUGCAUGACGGGACCCUAUGUCUUGGAAAUUGGGACUACAUAAGCAUUCUAUUGAACACUAGUGUGACUGAAUAUAUAGGAUUACAAUGCUUUAAUUGAUGCUGGAAUACUAUAACUUUGAGUUAUUAUGGGGAUAGAAUUCAGGCUUAUAAAUAAAAAUUGAGCAUAUUAUUCAAUAUAUUUUCUUUGAUAAAAUUCAUUUAAUUAAAAGAAAAUUCACUUUUGAUAGAAUCUACAACAACAUGCAUGGAUAAACUAGUGUUUUUAUAAUUUAUAGUAAUAUGGACUUCUCACUCUUGAUAAUACUGUGAAAAAAACUGGGUUGACUUCUAAUAACUGAAACACAAUAUUAAAUAGGGAAUAACAAGACCGAAACUGAUGCAAUUGGGACCCAUAUGUAACAGAGAGGAUUAUUAAUAAAAUAUUAAUCACAGGAAAAGGAAACAUAAAAGAAAGAAAGAUACCAGUGUUAUCGUUACGGUUGUAUGUAAGUCAUUGCCUUCCCUUUUGAAUUGAUCAUGUGGUGCAGUGAAAAUUCGGAACUGAACAAAUCAUCAGCUUACGACAGUCAGCAGAUUAAUUAAUACAUAACAUCAAAAGUCAAGAAGAGGGUGUGUCUGACCUUGAGAUCCCCAGGUUCUCCAUCUAUUACAGGCUCCCCAUCUUCAUAAAACACCACCUCCUGUAAACAUUCAAAAUUUAUAUAACCUUAAUGACCCAGAGCAGUAAGGUUGAUAUCAACAGACUAAGGUGCAUCAAAACACUAGCAACUUUAGAUAUCAGAAAAGGAGAUUAGAGGUAGCACAUUAAUGAUGUUGGGAGUGCAAGACUAUGAGAAAAUGACGAGGAUAUGAGACGAGAAAGAUAAGAGAGACAGAUUUCCAGCAUCAGCUGAAAUUCUCAAAUUUCAUUAAGUUCUCCAUGUUCACGAGAUAGUAUUCUUUUUUCUCUUUCCUAGGUUUGAGGGAUAUGAUACAUUUUUAGUUUUAAGGUUAAGCAAGUGUAUUUGCUAUAAUGACACAGUCGUCUGAUUAAGCACAUCACAUAUACAAGAAAUGUCAAUUAGAGAUGUCAUUCUAGAAUUCAAGCAAGACAGACUGACAGACCAUAUAUGUUAACAUAUAAAGUGAAUGACGAGAAGAUUAUUCAUAACUUGGAGAUGAAGGCAGACAGCUUGAGCAUCAUAUUAAGACACUUUUGACCUAUUAACUUAGACCUACUACAUAUAGUCCUAGCUGGACCAAGGAAACAGAGUGAACUUGUAUAAUAUUCCAAAUUAUUGUGGAGAUCCACUGAACUUCAUCUUGAAUUAGUUGGAGAUUAGCUGGCAUAAUCUCGAUACAAUUGUCUGAUAUACACACCCUGAAUCAGCUGCAUUUAAGUGUUAGGUGAGAAAGGUAAUCCUAAGUUCCUGGUGCAGGUGUUAUAGGUUUUAUCAUUUGUUGGGUACUUUACCCAAAACCCAAGUAUACUACACUGCCUACUAUAUCAUGGCCUGGUAAUUUAAAUGCAAGCUGGGCUUUCCAUAGUGCCAUAUAGGCAGUGUUCAUUUCCCUCUGUCAACAAUAACAAAAAGCAUCGAUGUAUAUGACAAUGAAGAAGCAGUAGUUUUGACCAUAGACCAAUACUGGUGUAACUCCAAUUUCUUAAAAUCCAGAAUAUGCUGAGACUUCGACCCUAUAAAUCACUAAAAUUCCAAGCAUAUUCUUCUCCGAAGCUAAUUCUUUGAGAAUAUUUCAAUGCCAAUUUACACAACUAUGGUUUUGACUCCAGGGAGAACACGUAACGACCCACAGGAUAUCGUAUCUUGGGCAAGUUUUGAUAGUAGUAGACAUCAUUUUGGAUUGAGAAAGUAUGAGACCAUAUAAUUCGUAUUUAACUACUACACACAGAUGCACAAGUGAAACCACUCCAGCAUUACCAUGGCAAGAAGUCUGAUGAAAAAUAGGCGGGCAAAUAAUUUUAUUACAAGAAGAUUAGGAUUAUUGUGACUCAUGACCAAUAACAGGGAACUUUGAAAUGGUCGACAGAGAGUAAACAUAAUUUUGUGGAAGGAAACUUAUUAAUAAAAUAUUGCCUAGUAAUCAAUCCACUCACAAACGAGGCACAUCUAUGUUAAAAUACCAGAUACAUGAACAGUGGAUAAAAAAAUUGAAUUAAAAGUUCCGUCUUAUCUAUUGACAGUGUAAGAAAGCUUACUUGCCCAUCUUGCAUCCCUUUCUCAAUAUCAACAGUGACAUGAUACCCUUCCCUUUCAUAUUUGACAUUAGGGCAUUGUUCGCAAACCUGAAAGCGAAAUAAAAAGUGGAUAGUCAGUACCAAUAAUUGAGAAACAAAGGUGUCCUGAAACACUAAAUAUUAAAUAUAAAGAUUUUGAAAUAACUAGAGCACAGGUAUUGUAGGGACUCGUGCAAACUUGUAAUGAGUCACCACCUGAUGCCUGGUAAUUUACAUCAUGUUGCUUGACCGUACUCUAUGAGUACUCUCUCCAUUAACACUGGAGUAAUACUUUUUAAUGAGAAAGCCUACCUGCUCCGUCAUCUGCUGGAACAUGCCAGGACCUAUCUGCCUGUGGUAGACCUCAUUUCGACAGUUACACCGUCUCUUCCCAGGGGCUGGUUUUAAUACAUUCUUCUCCCUCCAAACCUGAUUGAUUUUACAAGGAUAGAUAAAUGAAUGAGAAAUGUAUAGUGAAAGAUCAAUAAUAAUAAUAAUAAUAACCAAAGGCAGGAAUAAGGACACUGCACUGAUCGCUAUAGGAAAAUAAGAAGAAGUACAAGGUCCUUCCACUUUAUAACUUGUUAUCCAACUUGAGAGAAAGCAGCAAUAUACCAGCAAAGUAGAUAACAUUAAUCAAAUGUGUCAUAAAUCUGAAAACAGUGAUCUUUAGGACACACAUAAUUGAAAUAUAAAAGUAAAAACUUUUCAGUUUUCACUACUAUCUUAUGUGGCAGAGCCCUCUUUUCAUAUAUGUAUUUGUUAAGAGGUAACUCCAAUUUUUCAAGUUGAUUGAGUAGGGUAAAAUAAUAUCCAUCACAUGGAUUGUAAGGUCUACAAGGAAAAAUCCACCCACCCACUACACCCCCCCCCCUCUGACAACACCUCGGGAGAAAACACCACAAAAAAAACUCCUCCAAAUGCUAACGCUGAAAUGGAGACUCAAACCCACCGCAUCUUAUGCUUUGAUAACAUGUUUCAAAUAAUACUUCGAAUAGUGAAUUAAAAUCACCUCUAAUGUAGUUAUACAUGUUUAAGUCAAAGUCCAAGAAAACGGGGAAAACAAAACAUAUAGCCAAAUAUUCUACUAGAUGCACAACAAGGAUGAGGAACAUAUUGGUCGCAGAUUUAAACAAGGUAAGAAUGGGAACUGAUUUGUAUUACAUAUAUUUGCAUCACUAUAUAGCCAAUAAUACCUUCAGGGUGCCUCCCAUGUACAAGUCUUCCAAUGUUGCUUCCAAUUCAACAAUUACAUCGUCACCCUUUACAAUCCUUUCUUCUUCUUCUUCACCCCCACCUCCUCCAAAGAAGCUGGAAAAGAACAAGGGUUUCUUUAGUCAGAAUUAGCAGUCAUAUCAAAAUCCAACUUAUUAACUUAUAAGUUAAAAAUAGCUUUAAGGUAUUGUUAUUGCAAAAACUGAUUGUGUCGAAUCAAAACAGUAGAACAUACAAUGCCUAUGGUAUGUUAAAUUCAGGAACUGCAAUGCAAAAUGUGAUUCGGGCCCCACUACAAAUUUAGUCCAGCAGCGCAAGCACUAUUAAAUUGUAGCCAAUAUUUUUUCCCCCACGUGCCAUCCUUGCCUUAAAAAAAAUGUAAAAAUGGUCUUUUUGUCUUAUUCAAUGCCAGGGUAGUGAGAUAUCCAUAUGCAGAUCAAAUAAUUUCAACAUAUAAUUGUUUUGAGUAAUUUUGUUUGUAUCCAUGAACCUGUUUUUAUGAUUGUUUUGGGGUGUUUAAUUUGAAGGAAGAGUUAAGAACGUAGUGAUAAGGUACUUCAGCUUAAUGCAAAGGAGAUAUUUAUGCCAAGGAAAGGGGGAGUGGGGGGAUUUGUUUACAACUCAUUCGGUGACGUAAUUAUUAAUAUGAACAUAUGAUGAUUUCUGACUACUUCAGCAACCAAAAGAACAUCAAAUCAAAUCCUUUUUGUUUAGUUGAGGAGAAAUUCUGUAAUAGCAGAAAUAACAUUUACUGUACUACUUAAUUACAUAUAAACGUGACAUUGCGCAUACCUGCUAAAGAGGUCUUGGAUAUUCAUCCCUCCACCACCUCCUCUUCCUCCACUAGCUGCAUGUUGCUUCAAACCCUCUUCACCAUACCUAUCGUAAAUACUCCUCUUUUCUUGAUCACUCAACACUUCAUAAGCUGAUAACAGAACCAAAAUUAUUCAAAUCAAAUACAUAACUACGCAAAACUCAAUCAAAUAGCAAACACAAAUAUUAAAAUUAACAGCAAUUAUAAUUCAUACCAUUACUAAUCUCUGUAAAUUUCUUAUUGGCUUCUUCGUUGCCUUGAUUCUUAUCAGGAUGAUAUUUUAAUGCAAGUUUUCGAUAAGCUCGUUUGAUUUGUUCCUCUGUAGCUCCUUUUGAUAAUUGAAGUAUAUCAUAAUAACUCUUCCUAAAUAUAUAUAAAAAAAAAAAAAAAAAAUCCGUAAUUAAAUUAAGAAAACAAGAUCUAUAUUGAAAAAAAUCUAAAGUAAUCAUUCUUACCCUCCAAGAACAGAAACUACGAACGAUAGAACGAAAACAAAACACACAAAUCUCGUUCUAUGAAUCGCCAUUGAAGCUCUAGUAUAAAGAAAUCAGGAGAGAUUUGAUUAAUCUCUCCUUUUUUUUUUGAAAUCUAGGGUUUCAAACAGAUCUAUAGAUUUUUUUUUUUGCGAGAAAAUGUGGUAAAUUUGAAUGAAUUUGGAGUCCUUUUUAGGAAUAAAUUGCUUUCAGAGAGAUAUAUGAACUAGUGUUUAUUCGAGAGUUGUAAACAAGAAGACGAUGUUUAAAACCCGGUUUUGGGUUAUUUAGUUGACGCCAAGACGCGAAGUCCCUGCAACGUGUAUUUUUAAGAGCUGACCAAUGAGAGAGUGUUUAUGACGAGAACAACCAAUGGGAAUUAGACACGUGGAAUCUGUUAUGUUAUGUGUUCCCGCUUUUUUUCUCUGAUAGUGUUUGACUGUUUUCUGGUUAAAAAAGCAAUAGAGAGAUUAUUUAUAAUUUGUGACAAAAAAAGUCAUUGAAAGAAACAUCUUGUUUAAAGGGAGAUGAUUCAGAACUUCUCAGCGAAUAAUCUAUUCGUAGAGCAACAGGUACGUAGAAAUAAAAAUUGGUCCAUAUUCAUCGUUCACAAAAGUACAUUAUCAAUUAUCUAUUGGGAUAAAAGAGGAGGCCGAAUCGCCAUGGUAACAAUAUGGGCAUCAUUCUAAUAAAAUUUGUAACUCUUUGAACUUCUCAAGGCUGCCUACAUUUUCCGGUGAAGUCCCACACUCAAAGCACCUUCUUGUUUUAUGUGAUACAAAUUUGAUCCUACUUUAAGACUUCCUUCAUCUUGGUCUUCUGUUAAUGAUGCAGGGAAUAGAACCUAAAAGAUAACAUGCAGGUCUCCCUUCUUUGAACUAAAUUGCAAGCAAAGGCAUUCCUUCCUUCUUGAACUUUCUCACUUCCUUUGAUUUAGUAACUCCCUGAAGAACACAAAAACAUUAAUGACCUUUUCAGGUAAUUCAACAAUUUGGUAGUAGCAUUAGGUAAAAGUGGGAGCCGAGUGUUGAGUACCUUUGGAGCUGAUUUCCACCAAAUGUUCAUCAAGAUUUUUGAUAGUCUUCUCGAAACCAACAACAAGAGCUUGGACCUGG